rnacentral:rRNA from 1 species
GGUUAAGUGACUAAGCGUACACGGUGGAUGCCUAGGCAGUCAGAGGCGAUGAAGGGCGUGCUAAUCUGCGAAAAGCGUCGGUAAGGUGAUAUGAACCGUUACAACCGGCGAUACCCGAAUGGGGAAACCCAGUGUGUUUCGACACACUAUCAUGUCAUGAAUACAUAGUGGCAUGAGGCGAACCGGGGGAACUGAAACAUCUAAGUACCCCGAGGAAAAGAAAUCAACCGAGAUUCCCCCAGUAGCGGCGAGCGAACGGGGAGGAGCCCAGAACCUGAAUCGGCUUGUGUGUUAGUGGAAGCGUCUGGAAAGUCGCGCAACAAAGGGUGAUAGCCCCGUACACUAAAAUGCACAGGUCGUGAGUUCGAUGAGUAGGGCGGGACACGUGACAUCCUGUCUGAAUAUGGGGGGACCAUCCUCCAAGGCUAAAUACUCCUGACUGACCGAUAGUGAACCAGUACCGUGAGGGAAAGGCGAAAAGAACCCCGGCGAGGGGAGUGAAAUAGAACCUGAAACCGUGUACGUACAAGCAGUGGGAGCACCUUCGUGGUGUGACUGCGUACCUUUUGUAUAAUGGGUCAGCGACUUAUAUUUUGUAGCAAGGUUAACCGUAUAGGGGAGCCGUAGGGAAACCGAGUCUUAACUGGGCGAAUAGUUGCAAGGUAUAGACCCGAAACCCGGUGAUCUAGCCAUGGGCAGGUUGAAGGUUGGGUAACACUAACUGGAGGACCGAACCGACUAAUGUUGAAAAAUUAGCGGAUGACUUGUGGCUGGGGGUGAAAGGCCAAUCAAACCGGGAGAUAGCUGGUUCUCCCCGAAAGCUAUUUAGGUAGCGCCUCGUGAACUCAUCUUCGGGGGUAGAGCACUGUUUCGGCUAGGGGGCCAUCCCGGCUUACCAAACCGAUGCAAACUCCGAAUACCGAAGAAUGUUAUCACGGGAGACACACGGCGGGUGCUAACGUCCGUCGUGAAGAGGGAAACAACCCAGACCGCCAGCUAAGGUCCCAAAGUAUGGUUAAGUGGGAAACGAAGUGGGAAGGCUAAAACAGUCAGGAGGUUGGCUUAGAAGCAGCCAUCCUUUAAAGAAAGCGUAAUAGCUCACUGGUCGAGUCGGCCUGCGCGGAAGAUGUAACGGGGCUAAACCAUGCACCGAAGCUGCGGCAGCGACGCUUAGCGUUGUUGGGUAGGGGAGCGUUCUGUAAGCCGUUGAAGGUGGCCUGUGAGGGUUGCUGGAGGUAUCAGAAGUGCGAAUGCUGACAUAAGUAACGAUAAAGCGGGUGAAAAGCCCGCUCGCCGGAAGACCAAGGGUUCCUGUCCAACGUUAAUCGGGGCAGGGUGAGUCGACCCCUAAGGCGAGGCUGAAAAGCGUAGUCGAUGGGAAACAGGUUAAUAUUCCUGUACUUGGUGUUACUGCGAAGGGGGGACGGAGAAGGCUAGGCUAGCCGGGCGACGGUUGUCCCGGUUUAAGCGUGUAGGGGGUGUGACCUGGUAAAUCCGGUUGCAUACUAACCCUGAGGCGUGAUGACGAUGCACUACGGUGCAGAAGUAGUUGAUGCCCUGCUUCCAGGAAAAUCCUCUAAGCUCCAGGUAACAUUAAAUCGUACCCCAAACCGACACAGGUGGUCAGGUAGAGAAUACCAAGGCGCUUGAGAGAACUCGGGUGAAGGAACUAGGCAAAAUGGUGCCGUAACUUCGGGAGAAGGCACGCUGGCAUGUAGGUGAAGUCCCUCGCGGAUGGAGCUGAAGCCAGUCGAAGAUACCAGCUGGCUGCAACUGUUUAAUAAAAACACAGCACUGUGCAAACACGAAAGUGGACGUAUACGGUGUGACGCCUGCCCGGUGCUGGAAGGUUAAUUGAUGGGGUCAGCCGCAAGGCGAAGCUCUUGAUCGAAGCCCCAGUAAACGGCGGCCGUAACUAUAACGGUCCUAAGGUAGCGAAAUUCCUUGUCGGGUAAGUUCCGAC